rnacentral:rRNA from 1 species
GACGAACGCUGGCGGCGUGCCUAACACAUGCAAGUCGAACGGAACUGUUUUGAAAGAUUUCUUCGGAAUGAAUUUGAUUUAGUUUAGUGGCGGACGGGUGAGUAGCGCGUGAGUAACCUGCCUUCAAGAGGGGAAUAACAUUCUGAAAAGAAUGCUAAUACCGCAUGACAUAUCGGAACCACAUGGUUUUGAUAUCAAAGAUUUUAUCGCUUGAAGAUGGACUCGCGUCCGAUUAGUUAGUUGGUGAGGUAACGGUUCACCAAGACCGCGAUCGGUAGCCGGACUGAGAGGGUGAACGGCCAAAUUGGGACUGAGACACGGCCCAGACUCCUACGGGAGGCAGCAGUGGGGGAUAUUGCGCAAUGGGGGCAACCCUGACGCAGCAACGCCGCGUGAAGGAUGAAGGUUUUCGGAUUGUAAACUUCUUUUAUUAAGGACGAAAAAUGACGGUACUUAAUGAAUAAGCUCCGGCUAACUACGUG